GGGAUAUGGUCGUGUUGUGGAGAGGAACGAGUAAUUGUGGUUACGACGAAUCACAUUGACAAACUUGAUGCAGCAUUGUUGAGACCUGGAAGAAUGGAUAUGCACAUCAACAUGUCAUACUGCAAGUCAUCGGCGUUUAAACAAUUAGUUUUCAAUUAUUUAAAUAUUCAUGAUCACGAACUGUUUGAUCAAAUCGGAGAGCUAUUACAAGUUGUGGAGGUUACACCGGCAGAUGUUGCAGGGGAACUGUUGAAAAGCAAGAAUCCAACUAUAUCCCUUCGAGGGCUCGUUGAAUUUUUGAAAAUAAAAUUGCAGAAAGAAGAGACGUUGAAAUCGCAAAAUGGAGGACCAGAGGCAGAGGAAGCAUUCAAAGAUGAAACGAAACAUGAAUCUAUACAUGAUUCUUCUGAGGAUCUGAGUAAUAUUGUUGAUCUGUAAACGAAGACGGAGACACAUUUUGUACUUUCUUCUUCUUGUAUGUUGAUGAAUAAAUAGAUUAUUG
rnacentral:misc_RNA from 1 species